rnacentral:lncRNA from 1 species
UCUGAUCAAGAGUGUUUCUCCAAUGCAGUUUGGAUUUUUAGGGCUUUAAAAGGCUCUGUGGGUGAACAGAACCAAAGACACGUUGAGAGCAGCAUGUGUGCAGUCGUAAGGAGUUUGACAAGUAGAGAGAGGCAAUAGCCAUAGGAGGCUCAGGCAGUAGUCGAGAGGAGUUCGAGAGGCAUUGAGUGCGUGUAGUGGACAGAGC